rnacentral:tRNA from 1 species
UUUGAUAUGGCAGAAAAUGCAAUGAGCUUAAGAUUCAUUUAUAAAAAUGAAAUUCAUUUUUUAUCAAAA